ensembl:lncRNA
ACAUGGACCAUAAAGAAGGCUGAGCACUGAAGAAUUAGUGGUUUUGAACUGUGGUGUUGGAGAAGACUCUUGAGAGUCCCCUUGGACUGUAAGGUCAAACCAGUCAAUCCUAAAAGGAAUCAAUCCUGAAUAUUCACUGGAAGGACUGAAGCUGAAGCUCCAAUACUUUGGCCAUCUGAUGUGAAGAGCCAACUCAUUGGAAAAGACCCUGAUGCUGGGAAAGAUUGAAGGCAGGAGGAGAAGGGGACGACAGAGGAUGAGACGGUUGGCAUCACUGACUGGAUGGACCUGAGAUUGAGCAAGCUCUGGAGUUGAUGGACAGGGAGCCUGGCAUGCUGCUGUCCGUGGGGUCGAAAAGAGUUGGACAACAUUGAGUGAGUGAACAACAACAGGUUUUAUGCAGGAAAAUGACAUGACCAGAUCUGAAAUUUUAAAGAAUUUCCUUGGCAGCAGGGAGAACAACAGACUUGAAAGGGGAAGGAAUAGGAACAAAGAGGCCAGCAAAGAGACCACAACAAUGGAUUCAGCAAGGAAUGAUGAAGACUGGCAGGACGGACGAGCACACCCAAGAAUUAUACAUGUUCACUGAUGGGAGUUGUGUAAGAAAUUUCUGGCUUGGAUGGCAGGAAGAAUGAGCUAGAAAGAAGGCAGUGGAAGCAAGAGAAGCUCCCUAAACAGUUUGUGCUGGUAAGAGGCCUUCCGGGUGGUAGUUUCUGAUAAGCACUUGUUAUGUGGGAUCUAGAGUUCUGGGGAGAUAUUCUGGGCAGGAUGGUCAUUUUGAAGAUCUCGCCACAAAAAUGGCAGUUGAAGUCACAGUAUGAGAGAAGUCAUAGAAGUGAAAAGAAGGCAAAGGCACUGUUCUGAGGAGCCCCAGCACUUAGGCAGCAGCAGAACUACAAACGGGAAGUCAAAGAGGUGGAGCAGUUGUUUGUAAGUCAGCAGUGAGAGUGCCGCAGAGUGGUCAGGUAAAUGGGGGCUGAAGAGAAGCCAGUGGACAUGGCAGUUAGGACACCAGUGACCAGAGGAAUGCUUAAAAAAAUCAGUAGCAUGUUUUGCACAUGGGUUAAUUAAUACUAACACAUUUCAUACAACUGGAAGAAGCCAGAAGAGGGAAAUGGAGUUAACACUGAGAAGUGUUCUUUAGAAAGUAAUACUUAUUCGUAGCUCCAUGCCUCCGUCACUGCAGGGGAACGUACCUGCUGCUGCUGCUAAGUCACUUCAGUCAUGUCCGACUCUGUGCGACCCCAUGGACUGCAGCCCACCAGGCUCCUCCAUCCAUGGGAUUUUCCAGGCAAGAGUACUGGAGUGGGGUGCCAUUGCCUUCUCCGAGGGGAGCAUACCUACCAGCCUCCCAAAUCCUGGCCUGCACUUUCCCCUCUGUUAAAUCACUGCUACUUGUAAACAUCUCUGA